rnacentral:rRNA from 1 species
UGGGGAAUUUUGCACAAUGGGGGAAACCCUGAUGCAGCGACGCCGCGUGAUUUAGAAGGCCUUCGGGUUGUAAAAAUCUUUUCUAUGGGAAGAAAAUGACAGUACCAUAGGAAUAAGGACCGGCUAAUUACGUGCCAGCAGCCGCGGUAAUACGUAAGGUCCGAGCGUUGUCCGGAAUCAUUGGGCGUAAAGGGUACGUAGGCGGGUAAGCAAGUUAGAAGUGAAAUCCUAUAGCUCAACUAUAGUAAGCUUUUAAAACUGCUCAUCUUGAGGUAUGGAAGGGAAAGUGGAAUUCCUAGUGUAGCGGUGAAAUGCGCAGAUAUUAGGAGGAAUAUCGGUGGCGAAGGCGACUUUCUGGCCAUAACCUGACGCUGAGGUACGAAAGCGUGGGUAGCAAACAGG